rnacentral:rRNA from 1 species
GAUGAACGCUGGCGGCGUGCCUAAUACAUGCAAGUCGAGCGAACAGACGAGGAGCUUGCUCCUCUGACGUUAGCGGCGGACGGGUGAGUAACACGUGUAAACCGCCCUUGAAUGUGGGGUAAAAUUUGGGAAAACGGGAUAAAACCCGGUAGAAGAUAUUGAUCCGUGGGGUGGAUUGGUAAAAUUCGGUUUUUUGGUAUGGAAUAGCGGGUUCCCGGCUGCUUUAGCUAGUUGUUAAGGUAACGGCUUACGAAGGGGAGGAGGCGUAGCCGACCGGAGAGGGUGAUCGCCCACCCUGGAGCUGAGACACGGUCCAGACUCCUACGGGAGGCAGCAGUAGGGAAUCUUCCGCAGUGGGCGAAAGCCUGACGGAGCAACGCCGCGUGAGUGAUGAAGGUCUUCGGAUCGUAAAACUCUGUUAUUAGGGAAGAACAAAUGUGUAAGUAACUAAGCACGUCUUGACGGUAACUAAUCAGAAAGCAACGGCUAACUACGUG